AUAAGCAUCGCCUAGGGCUCUUGCUUAAAGGGAGAUUCUGAUUCAGGUGUGCUGAGAGUCUGCAUUUCUAACAAGCUCCCAGGUGAUUCCAGU
rnacentral:pre_miRNA from 1 species